ensembl:lncRNA
GUUGUUUAGGUGGGUCUGGGAUGAUGUUGUUUAGGUGGGUCUGGGCUAAUGAUGUUGUUUAGGUGGGUCUGGGCUAAUGUUGUUGUUUAGGUGGGUCUGGGAUGAUGUUGUUUAGGUGGGUCUGGGAUGAUGUUGUCUAGGUGGGUCUUGGUUAAUGUUGUUGUCUAGAUGGGUCUGGGCUAAUGUUGUUGUCUAGGUGGGUCUGGGUUAAUGUUGUUGUCUAGGUGGGUCUGGGCUAAUGUUGUUUAGGUGGGCCUGGGAUGAUGUUGUCUAGGUGGGUCUGGGUUGAUGAUGUUGUUUAGGUGGGUCUGGGUCUGGGCUAAUGUUGUUGUCUAGCUGGGUCUGGGCUAAUGUUGUUGUUUAGGUGGGUCUGGGCUAAUGUUGUUGUUGUUUAGGUGGGUCUGGGCUAAUGUUGUUGUUGUUGUUUAGGUGGGUCUGGGUUAAUGUUGUUGUUUAGGUGGGUCUGGGAUGAUGUUGUUUAGGUGGGUCUGGGUUAAUGUUGUUGUUGUUGUUGUUGUUUAGGUGGGUCUGGGCUAAUGUUGUUGUCUAGGUUUGGGUCUGGGUUAAUGUUGUUGUUGUUUAGGUGGGUCUGGGAUGAUGUUGUUUAGGUGGGUCUGGGCUAUUGGGUUGUUGUUGUUUAGGUGGGUCUGGGCUAAUGUUGUUGUCUAGGUGGGUCUGGGUUAAUGUUGUUGUUGUUUAGGUGGGUCUGGGAUGAUGUUGUUUAGGUGGGUCUGGGCUAAUGUUGUUGUUGUCUAGGUGGGUCUGGGUUAAUGUUGUUGUUGUUUAGGUGGGUCUGGG